UCGAGGAUCUUCGGCAAUGGGCGCAAGCCUGACCGAGCGACGCCGCGUGUGCGAUGAAGGCCUUCGGGUUGUAAAGCACUUUAGUGGGGGAGAAAAGCCGAAAGGUUUGAUCUAUCCCAAAAAUAAGCACGGGCUAAGUUCGUGCCAGCAGCCGCGGUAAGACGAACCGUGCGAACGUUGUUCGGAAUCACUGGGCUUAAAGGGCGCGUAGGCGGGCUGUCAAGUCUGGGGUGAAAUCCCGCGGCUCAACCGUGGAACUGCCUCAGAUACUGACGGCCUCGAGGGAGGUAGGGGCGAGCGGAACUGUGAGUGGAGCGGUGAAAUGCGUUGAUAUUCACAGGAACUCCGGUGGCGAAGGCGGCUCGCUGGACCUCUUCUGACGCUGAGGCGCGAAAGCCAGGGGAGCAAACGGGAUUAGAUACCCCGGUAGUCC
rnacentral:rRNA from 1 species